GGCUGAGUAGCCCAAAUCGGAAGAGGCGCUCGGCACUGGAGCGAGUGGUUCUCGAUUCCAGAUCGAGAGGUUGGGGGUUCGAAUCCCCCCUCAGCCA
rnacentral:tRNA from 1 species